CCUACGGGAGGCAGCAGUGGGGAAUAUUGCACAAUGGGGGAAACCCUGAUGCAGCGACGCCGCGUGAGUGAUGAAGUAUUUCGGUAUGUAAAGCUCUAUCAGCAGGGAAGAAAAUGACGGUACCUGACUAAGAAGCCCCGGCUAACUACGUGCCAGCAGCCGCGGUAAUACGUAGGGGGCAAGCGUUAUCCGGAUUUACUGGGUGUAAAGGGAGCGUAGACGGCAGCACAAGCCUGGAGUGAAAUGCCGGGGCUUAACCCCGGGACUGCUUUGGAAACUGUGCAGCUAGAGUGCAGGAGAGGUAAGUGGAAUGCCUAGUGUAGCGGUGAAAUGCGUAGAUAUUAGGAGGAACACCAGUGGCGAAGGCGGCUUACUGGACUGUAACUGACGUUGAGGCUCGAAAGCGUGGGGAGCAAACAGGAUUAGAUACCCUAGUAGUC
rnacentral:rRNA from 1 species